rnacentral:rRNA from 1 species
UUUUUCNGCAAGAUCGUGCCAGCAGCCGCGGUAAUACGUAGGGUGCAAGCGUUGUCCGGAAUUACUGGGCGUAAAGAGUUCGUAGGCGGUUUGUCGCGUCGUUUGUGAAAACCAGCAGCUCAACUGCUGGCUUGCAGGCGAUACGGGCAGACUUGAGUACUGCAGGGGAGACUGGAAUUCCUGGUGUAGCGGUGAAAUGCGCAGAUAUCAGGAGGAACACCGGUGGCGAAGGCGGGUCUCUGGGCAGUAACUGACGCUGAGGAACGAAAGCGUGGGUAGCGAACAGGAUUAGAUACCCUGGUAGUCCACGCCGUAAACGGUGGGCGCUAGGUGUGGGUUCCUUCCACGGAAUCCGUGCCGUAGCUAACGCAUUAAGCGCCCCGCCUGGGGAGUACGGCCGCAAGGCUAAAACUCAAAGGAAUUGACGGGGGCCCGCGCAAGCGGCGGARCAUGUGGAUUAAUUCGAUGCAACGCGAAGAACCUUACCUGAGUUUGACAUAUACCGGAAAGCUGCAGAGAUGUGGCCCCCCUUGUGGUCGGUAUACAGGUGGUGCAUGGCUGUCGUCAGCUCGUGUCGUGAAAUGUUGGGUUAAGUCCCGCAACGAGCGCAACCCUUAUCCUUGUUUGCCAGCACGUAAUGGUGGGAACUCCAGGGAGGCU